rnacentral:rRNA from 1 species
AUUGAACGCUGGCGGAAUGCUUUACACAUGCAAGUCGAACGGCAGCACGGGGGCAACCCUGGUGGCGAGUGGCGAACGGGUGAGUAAAGCAUCGGAACGUGCCCUGGAGUGGGGGAUAACGUAGCGAAAGUUACGCUAAUACCGCAUAUUCUGUGAGCAGGAAAGCAGGGGAUCGCAAGACCUUGCGCUCUGGGAGCGGCCGAUGUCGGAUUAGCUAGUUGGUGGGGUAAAGGCCUACCAAGGCGAUGAUCCGUAGCGGGUCUGAGAGGAUGAUCCGCCACACUGGGACUGAGACACGGCCCAGACUCCUACGGGAGGCAGCAGUGGGGAAUUUUGGACAAUGGGCGAAAGCCUGAUCCAGCCAUGCCGCGUGAGUGAAGAAGGCCUGG